UACGUAGGGGGCAAGCGUUGUCCGGAUUUAUUGGGCGUAAAGAGCGCGUAGGCGGCCAGACAGGUCCGUUGUGAAAACUCGAGGCUCAACCUCGAGAUGUCGAUGGAAACUGUCUGGCUAGAGUACGGAAGAGGAGAGUGGAAUUCCUGGUGUAGCGGUGAAAUGCGCAGAUAUCAGGAGGAACACCAACGGCGAAGGCAGCUCUCUGGGACGUUACUGACGCUGAGACGCGAAAGCGUGGGGAGCAAACAGG
rnacentral:rRNA from 1 species